rnacentral:rRNA from 1 species
UACGUAGGGUGCGAGCGUUAAUCGGAAUUACUGGGCGUAAAGCGUGCGCAGGCGGUUUUGUAAGCCAGAUGUGAAAUCCCCGGGCUUAACCUGGGAAUGGCAUUUGGGACUGCAAGGCUUGAGUGCGGCAGAGGAGACUGGAAUUCCUGGUGUAGCAGUGAAAUGCGUAGAUAUCAAGCGGAACACCAGUGGCGAAGGCGAGUCCCUGGACAACUCCUGACACUGAGGCACGAAAGCUAGGGGAGCAAACAGG